rnacentral:rRNA from 1 species
GACGAACGCUGGCGGCGUGCUUAACACAUGCAAGUCGAGCGGUAAGGCCCCUUUGGGGGUACACGAGCGGCGAACGGGUGAGUAACACGUGGGUGACCUGCCCUCAGCUCUGGGAUAAGCCUGGGAAACUGGGUCUAAUACCGGAUAUGACUCCAUGACGCAUGUUGUGGGGUGGAAAGCCUUGUGCGGCUGGGGGAUGGGCCCGCGGCCUAUCAGCUUGUUGGUGGGGUGAUGGCCUACCAAGGCGACGACGGGUAGCCGGCCUGAGAGGGCGACCGGCCACACUGGGACUGAGACACGGCCCAGACUCCGUACGGGAGGCAGCAGUGGGGAAUCUUGCGCAAUGGGACGAAAGCCUGACGCAGCGACGCCGCGUGAGGGAUGACGG